rnacentral:lncRNA from 1 species
CCUAAGCAAAAAAUUAAAAGUUAAGAGUUGAAAAAAUAUGACCAAUGAGAUGCAAUCCAACAGACAAGAAUGUCAUAUAGAAACAUAUUUUCCUCUGGACUUUGACAAGCAAUAAGCAAUAAGAAAUGAACAAUGUCCAAGCAUUAUGUGAAGAUCUAGGCAUCAAAAAAAGAUAGCCAUAAUACCCAAGCAAGCAUUCUAAUAGCUAGCAGUCUUCAAUGUCUUCCCAAGGCCCAAACAGAAAGUCAAACAUCAUAAGAC